AUGUAUGCCAGAUCAAGAAAUGUUCAUAGUGAACUCAGGAGGAAUGACCCAGAACUGGGUAACAAGUCCCCGGCUGUCUUCCCCAUGACUCCCUGUUGCAAAAGCUCUCCUACAUCCUCCCAGGUUGCCUUGGGUUGUCUUGUCAGUGGCUACUUCCCAGAGCCUGUCACAGUACAGUGGAAAAAAGGAUCAAGCACAGUUUCCUCUGGCAUCACAACCUCCUCCUCUGAAUGGGACUCAUCUAAUGGGCUCUACAUCAUGAGCAGCCAGCUAACUGUCCCAGCUGACAGCUGGAUGUCCCAGAAGUACCAGUGCACUGUGAAGCAUCAGGCAACAGCAUUCCAAACCACCAUGGAUGUUGAAUGCCCUCCAAUACCGGUUCCACUCCAGGUGAACCUGUUGACCCCCCCCUGUGAGGGUGGCUCUUCCCCAGUGCUGGAACUGAUUUGCCUUCUUUGGGACUUCACGCCAAAUGAAGCCAAGGUGGAGUGGCUCGUGAAUGGAAUCAAGAAGGACCUUCCUGGCACAGUCUACUCCUCCGCAGAGGGCACAAAUGGCUUGUUCAUGGGCCAGAGCCGAGUGAACAUCUCUAGGGAGAGCUGGAAUAAGGAGGAUGUUUACACGUGCAAAGUGUCCCAUCCUGCCUUGACCACAGGCUAUGAGAUGAGAAAUGCAAGCAAGUGCAAUACCGAUCGUUGUGACCCAAGACCAGUGGAAGUAUUCCUCUAUCCCCCUUCCCUGAAGGACAUCUUUGUAGCACAUAACACCACCAUCACUUGCUUGGUCACCAACCUGGAGACACCAAGCAACUUGGAAAUCUCCUGGAGCCGGGGAAGUACGGGCACCUUGGAUGUGGUGACUGGCCAGCCAGUUCAGCAACAAAAUAGCACCUACAGUGUGACCAGCAUCCUGCGGGUGUGCGCAGAGGAAUGGAAGUCUGGGGAGGAAUUCACCUGUACAGUGAAGCACCCGGGCAUCCCAUCAGCCAUCACCAAAUCCAUCCACAAGACCAAAGCCACCAAUCUACAGGCUCCUUCAGUCUACAUCUACCCUCCUUCUGCUGAUGAGCUGUCCCUGCAGGAGGUAGCUACUCUGACCUGCCUGGCUAAGGGCUUCCGCCCCAGUGACAUCCUGGUAACAUGGACCCAGCAGGGCCGGCCCGUGUCCCAGGAAACUUUCAUCAAUGUUGGACCCGUCCAGGACACUGCAGAGAAGGAGAUGAACUACUUCAUCUACAGCAAGCUCAGUGUCCUGACCAAUGAGUGGCAGCGGGGAGACAUCUUUGCCUGUGUAGUGGGUCAUGAAAGCCUCCCAAUGACCUUUGUCCAGAAGAGUGUGGACAAAGCCUCUGGUAAACCCACCGCUGUCAACGUCUCUGUAGUUUUGUCUGACACUGAAAUCACCUGCUACUGAGGGGAUAGAGCCCUGCAAGCCUUGUGUCUACUUGUGCAAGCCUUGUGUAAACUACAUGCCAUGUAGUUUAUAUAUAAAGCUGAGGGAUUUCUGGUGAACAGAGCCUGGCUGUAUGUGUUGUAUGUUAAAAUAAAAGAGCAACUGUCU